rnacentral:sRNA from 1 species
AACCCCUGGUUAGACCAGAGAUUCAGAAAAGCUUACAGCUACGAAACAUAUAAUAAAACUCUUUUUGAUGUAAAAUAAAAAUGAGGUCUGGAAACUGCAAUAAAAACAUCAAAAG